rnacentral:rRNA from 1 species
AUGGAUAGAUCUUGGAUUCGUGGCACACUGUUCUCUCGAGAGUACGUCAAUGGUGUCAAAGAGUUUAUGAACUUAAUUCAAGCAAAAUUCAGCGAGGAUGAAGAAAUACCAUGCCCAUGUAGAGAAUGCCUUAAUCGCAAAUACUGGCAUCAAGCUGUUGUGAACAAGCACAUAUUGACGCAUGGCAUGGAAAGUACAUAUACUCGCUGGAUAUAUCAUGGAGAAGACUUCAAUGCAGAUGUUAUUGAGCAUCCUGUUGAUGUGCAUGACUCUGAGGAUGGUAACAAUGGUGCUGACCGAUUUUAA